AACGCACGAGACCUGCGGACCUGCGGAGGGAUCAUUAGUGAACGCCCUCACGGGCUUAUAACUAUUCCAAACCUCUGUGAACCGUGCCCUUCGGGGCUAUUUUACAAACAUGGUGUAAUGAACGUCAUAUAUCAUAGCAAAACAAAACUUUCAGCAACGGAUCUCU
rnacentral:misc_RNA from 1 species